rnacentral:tRNA from 1 species
GCACCCGUAGCUCAGGCUGGAUAGAGCACCAGACUACGAAUCUGGGGGUCAGGAGUUCGAAUCUCUUCGGGUGUGCCA